UACUAAGAUUCUUUUUAUGAAUGUGCUUCCUUCUAUAUUCUUAGAGUUGGUGUAUAAAUGCAUAUAGAUUUAAUAAAAACUAAUAUUAUUUGACUUUUAUUUAUAAACCUAUAUUUAUAAAUCGAUACAACCUAACUUUUAAUAUCACAUAGGAAAAAUAAGAAUUUGACAGUAAACAAAAGACUACGCAACUUGCUAAGAGAACUAAUGAAAAGCAACCAAGAAAAGUACACACUGGGGGAUGUCAACUAUGAGGAAAUGGACUGGCUAGCCAUCGAGGCUGAAACUACUACCAAAUGCUCCAUAAAGUUACCAAUGACUAAUUCAUCCAAAGGAGUGGAAAAUAUGGUUGAUAGUGAAAGCACGGAUUGAGGGAUGGUGACAGUGGGUACACCAUGUGAGGGAUGGUGAUAGUGGGUACACCAGGUGAGGGAUGAUAGUGGGUACACCAGGGUGAGGGAGGGUGAUAGGUACACCAGGUGAGGGAUGGUGAUAGUGGGUACACCAGGUGAGGGAUGGUGGUAGUGGGUACACCAGAUGAGGGAUGGUGGUAGCGGACACACGAGAUAAGGGAUGGUGGUAGCGGCGACAGCGAGUUUUGAAUUUACCGGGUGGUGUAAGCUGACGGGAGGUUGAGUUGCCAAGUCAUACCUUCCUCUCUCUAGAGACCUAUCUUUCCUCUACCAUAACCUAUAACCACCUCUCUCUGCAUUUAUUUACUGGUUGAGCCUAGGCCUAUGUGCGCGCCGCCAGCGUGAUCUUGACCACCAGUUCUGGUGUGGUGUUUACCACCAACUCUAUGAUUCCACUCAACACCUUUCUCUCUUAUUGUCCUCCUUUCCAGGAAAUGAUAACUUACAUUUAAAAAAUAAAAUUAUAUAAUGGGUAUUUAGGAAGAAGAAAAUAUUUUUUUUUAUAUUAGUUUUGUAAUGCAAGAAUUUGGCAGCCCAGUUCAGAGGCGCACAGACAUUUGACGAUCAAUAGAGUGCACUACUAUGGGCGCUGGAGAAGAGUCUGUUAUUUUGUAUUUGACACCGCUAGGAUUGAAGCAACGGGGAGCUCUCAAGUGCAUCAGCGGAUGCUUAAACUGAUAGUGAUAGCCAACCGGGGUAGGAUGUGAGAUAGGCAGGCAGGAGGGAUCCAGUGUAGCUUCAAGCUGACCACUGUGUAGGAUCCAGUGCUCCUAGUGCUAGGGAGGUGGCACGCACCCCAGUGGAUUCUAAGGCACCCGCACCCUUGCACAGAGACGCUACCCGCACCAUCCAACCUUAACCUCACCCAGUGCUCACACACCCGCAUAAUAAAACCAUUGUAACGCACACACUACCAAGGAAAACCAGAUUCCUCUCCCACUAGCGCCUCGUACUGUCAAAACUCACUCGUCCCCAAGAAACUCGGGUCUGGAAGAGGGAGGGGCAAGGCAGUUCACACUACUUUGUACUGUGGCUAUCAAGACCCCGAGGUGGACCACCUAACACUACUGUUACUACUGGAGGUGUUAGGUAGCACGAGCAGCCUAGCUACUGCAAGAUGGAGGGUGAUAUGGUUGACCCGGGGUUCCCCGUGUCUCACACCACCACCACCGGCACCACCACCACCACCAUGAGGGUCACCUCAAACAUACGCUUUGAUCCAUCCUACGUCAACAUUCGCAACAUUCCUGGCAUCCUUAAGUGUGCUCAGCUGGUGAGUGACCUCGUUACUGCGUUGUUACCUGUACCAUUGUUUGCUCUGCCUUCUUACCAUCCCUUUGUAUAAUAUGUUCUGUUACAUAUCCAGUUGUUGCCAGACCAUAAACUCAAGUAACCUGAUCAAGACUUAUGGUCUACUUAAUUAAAUUUUUAGUAAGGUCCGAUAAAUACCCACACUUUUUACGAGGAUUAAAUACUUC